rnacentral:rRNA from 1 species
UACGUAGAAGACUAGUGUUAUUCAUCUUUAAUAGGUUUAAAGGGUACCUAGACGGUAUAAUUAGUCUUAAAUAGGAAACGGUUAUGCUAGAGUUAUAUAUGAGGAGGUGAGUAUUUAUGGAGUAGAGUUGAAAUUCUGUCAUACCAUAAGGACUGGUAACGGCGAAAGCAACCUUUUAUCUAAUAACUGACGUUGAGGGACGAAGGCUCGGGUAACAAACAGG